rnacentral:piRNA from 1 species
UGGAGCUGAAUACAGUGAUCACGUUGUCC